rnacentral:tRNA from 1 species
GUCUAUAUAGUUUAAUAAAACAUUACAUUUUCAGUGUAAAAUUAGAUAAUAAUCUUAUAGGUU